ensembl:lncRNA
UGUUUCCUCAACAAUGUCCACACUGUGCUGCAGCACACGCAGAGUCUCUGAAUGAGAACUUGAAACUCUUGCUGCUUGGCAACAUUGUUGUAUUCAGUGCUCCAUGCUGAGCUGGCUUAAAAAAUUUUUUUUUUUUUUGUUUGUUUUUUUUUUUUUAUCAAACACAGCAAUUUGAUCUCUUUACUGUCUAUUGUGUCAUGGCUGAAUGACAGCCACUCUGCUGUAAGAAAGACAAACAGUAAGCAAAAUGGAUACUUUCAAACCAGCAGAGCUUAAAAGGGACCCAAGGCUCGUACUACCAAAGAUGCAUGGUCUCCAAAAUCUGCUUCUUAUACAAGACAUCGCCGCAGAAGAGGAGUAUAUAAUAUGUUUUAAGACAAAAGAAAGUAUUUUCUGUUGUGGUGUGCAGAUAAAGCUAGUUUAAACAUCAAUUUUCUUUUUUGUCUCGAGUCCUGCUGUUUUAUGGAGAAUCCCACUUUAUUGUAAACAUCAUUAUUACACACUUUUCUUUCUUUCUUUCUUUUGCUUUCUUGUUUUGUCUUUUCUUUUCUUAGAUAAACUUUCAAAACUUACAGAACAAUGCUACAAACAGAAUGAUUAAUUAUAUUUUGUUUUAAAUGAAUGAAUGAAUAAGUACAUGAAUAAUAUAUGAAAUACAAACAACAAAGACGAACAAAAAUUUUGUAGUUUUCUUAUUUUGUAUACUUUGCAUACAUUAUGGACGCAUGACCUCCGUUGACCAAUCAUUUUGAAGGUAAACAAAUGAGCUGCUGCUGCGCGCGUGCUGGGUCGGUCAGUAGCGAGCAGAGCAGAGCAGAGCAGAGCGAGGGCGUCAAUGAAUGACCCUUUCUAGCGAAAUAUGCAGUCUGAACGGUAAGUUAAAUGGGCGACUGUGGUAAAAGUGUAGUUUUAAACCUUUUAACUAACUAUGAGGAAUAUAGGCUCCUCUGUAUUUUAUGUAAAAGCAAGUUUUGUCUGCGCGUGAAUGAUUAAUUCAUGUUGGCCCAAAACGCGAGCUGCAGUUUAUGCGUUUUAAGCACCCACAGAUUUUCUCUUAAGCUGCUGUCACAUAGAUUAAGUUUAUACUUUAAUUAUAUACGGAUAUAGUUAGUUUAGGUUGGAGAAAUAGGACGUCUACAUGGACAUAAUGGGUUAAUUCAGAAAAGUUUCGAUUCGACAGGUGGACGCGAGUGACUUCCGGAUAAAUGCCCUCCCGGCGUCAGCAGAACUCUGUUAUCGCGCUCACUUUUAUUGUUAGACCACCCUAUUGAUCUGUUCCUAGGAAAUAUUGCAUAAUUGAGAUAAGCUUAAUUUCUAUGCGGUUUGUUCUUGUGGG